UUCAAGGUAUUCGGAUGUAGCUACCGUCGAGGCAUGCCAGAGUUCUAUCAAGACGAAGAUAGGGAUCAAAGCAAUCGAUCGUUCGGAGUCCAUCUAACUAGCCGACUAGGAUGGAAUGGCAAUACAUCCAGUACCUUACGCGAAAUCAAGCCUUGGUCCGGGGGGAGUAUGUCGCCAAGACUGAAACCUAAGAAUGACCGAAGGGCACCACCAGAUUGGAGCCUGCGGGGGUGAGUGUGACGCAACACGGGAAACCUACCAGGUCCCGCCCAUAGUAAAGAAUAGACAAGAUGGAUAGCUCUUCCUGAUUCUAUGGGUGGUGGUGCAUGGCCGUCUAGUUGCGUGGCUGCGGCUGGGUCUGGUAGUCCCGAUACGAACGAGACCUAACCUGCUAAUUAGUCGUCUCAUUUUAUGGGGUAUGACUUCUUAGAGGGACUAUGCAUAUCAAGUGCAUGGAAGUUUGAGGCAAUAACAGGGACAAAGAAAAACAUUAUAUGUCCUGGGCUGCACGCGUGCUACACUGAUGCAUACAACAAGUGCCUAGCUAGACAUAGUAUGGCAAUCUGGAAUAUGCAUCGUGAUGGGGAUAGAUCUUUGCAAUUAUAGAUCUUGAACGAGGAAUUCCUAGUAAGUGCAAGUCAUCAUCUUGCAUUGAUUAUGUUCUCUUCCCUUUGUACACAGCAAAGGGUCGCUCCUACCGAUACCGGGUGAUCCGGUGAACCUUUGGACCUUCAUGGAAAAAUAAGUAAACCUAUCACCUAGGAGAGAAGUCGAACUUAAUCGGACCCGGGUCUGUGGUCAGAGGCUGCAU
rnacentral:rRNA from 1 species